rnacentral:rRNA from 1 species
CCUACGGGAGGCAGCAGUGAGGAAUAUUGGUCAAUGGGCGGGAGCCUGAACCAGCCAAGUCGCGUGAGGGAAGACGGUCCUAUGGAUUGUAAACCUCUUUAGGCGGGGAGCAAUGCCGGGCACGCGUGCCCGGAGGGGGGGUACCCGCAGAAUAAGCAUCGGCUAACUCCGUGCCAGCAGCCGCGGUAAUACGGAGGAUGCGAGCGUUAUCCGGAUUUUUUGGGUUUAAAGGGUGCGUAGGCGGAGUUUUAAGUCAGCGGUAAAAUGUCCGGGCUCAACCCGGGCCGGCCGUUGAAACUGGGGAUCUUGAGUGGGAGAGAAGUAUGCGGAAUGCGUGGUGUAGCGGUGAAAUGCAUAGAUAUCACGCAGAACUCCGAUUGCGAAGGCAGCAUACCGGCGCCCGACUGACGCUGAGGCACGAAAGCGUGGGGAUCGAACAGGAUUAGAUACCCUUGUAGUC